rnacentral:rRNA from 1 species
CACACGAHUCUCGGCAACGGAUAUCUCGGCUCUCGCAUCGAUGAAGAWCGUAGCGAAAUGCGAUACCUGGUGUGAAUUGCAGAAUCCCGCGAACCAUCGAGUCUUUGAACGCAAGUUGCGCCCGADGCCACUCGGCCGADGGCACGCCUGCCUGGGCGUCACGC